AAAAAGGUAAGCUAAAUAAAGCUACUGGGCUCAUACCUCAUUUAUAAAGGUUUUAAUCCUUUCCUUUUUA
rnacentral:tRNA from 1 species